UUUCCGUAGGUGAACCUGCGGAAGGAUCAUUAAAGUUAUAGUCCCCCGGCCCUCUGGGCUGGGGUCUUCUAUACCACCCUUUGUUUAUUACACCUUUGUUGCUUUGGCAGGCCUGCCCUCGGGCUGCUGGCUCCGGCCGGCUCGUGCCUGCCAGAGGACCUAAACUCUGUUUGUAUAUGAAGUCUGAGUACUAUAUAAUAGUUAAAACUUUCAACAACGGAUCUCUUGGUUCUG
rnacentral:misc_RNA from 1 species